GUUUAUUUUAGAAAUCUUCUCACUUGGUAUGAAGUGCAAGUGAUCCCCUUUUGGUGUCUGUUAAUUUUUAUCUUUUUAAGAGGAAUACUUUUAAGGCUGAACAGGAUCCUGAAGUGAGGAGGACUCCCUCUCUCAUUGAACUGCAUACAGCAGCAGAAAGCAGGAUUUCAGUUCCCCUUUGAUUCAGAAGAGGAAUAUGAGAAGAGUCUAUCCCUGUCUGUGUUUUGCAUGUGUUAUGUUUCAAAAGUGCAGAAGAAAUUUAAGACUGACUAGGAAUUCUAAGUGAGGAAGAGUCCUUUUCCCAUUCCGCUGCAGCCAUGAGGAGAAUACUUGCAGACGGUUAUGCUGGCAUUGAUCCUGUUUCCAAAAGCAGAUCAACAUGAUUCCUCAAGACUCCAAAGAGAUCAACUAUGGGAC